GACGAACGCUGGCGGCGUGCUUAACACAUGCAAGUCGAACGGAAAGGCCCUGCUUUUGUGGGGUGCUCGAGUGGCGAACGGGUGAGUAACACGUGAGUAACCUGCCCUUGACUUUGGGAUAACUUCAGGAAACUGGGGCUAAUACCGGAUAGGAGCUCCUGCUGCAUGGUGGGGGUUGGAAAGUUUCGGCGGUUGGGGAUGGACUCGCGGCUUAUCAGCUUGUUGGUGGGGUAGUGGCUUACCAAGGCUUUGACGGGUAGCCGGCCUGAGAGGGUGACCGGCCACAUUGGGACUGAGAUACGGCCCAGACUCCUACGGGAGGCAGCAGUGGGGAUUAUUGCACAAUGGGCGGAAGCCUGAUGCAGCAACGCCGCGUGCGGGAUGACGGCCUUCGGGUUGUAAACCGCUUUCGCCUGUGACGAGGCGUGAGUGACGGUAAUGGGUAAAGAAGCACCGGCUAACUACGUG
rnacentral:rRNA from 1 species